CCCUUAGAUGUUCUGGGCCGCACGCGCGCUACACUGACGAAUGCAACGAGCUUAUAACCUUGGCCGAAAGGUCUGGGUAAUCUCCAAAUUUCGUCGUGAUGGGGAUAGAUUAUUGCAAUUAUUAAUCUUCAACGAGGAAUGCCUAGUAAGCGCAAGUCAUCAGCUUGCGUUGAUUACGUCCCUGCCCUUUGUACACACCGCCCGUCGCACCUACCGAUUGAAUGGUCCGGUGAAAUCUCCGGACUGGCGUGAGUCGGAGCAAUCUGACAAACACCGGAAAGUUGAUUAAACCUUACCAUUUAGAGGAAGGUGAAGUCGUAACA
rnacentral:rRNA from 1 species